UUAAUCAAAAUGCCAGCAAUGUGGGGAGAUGGUGGGCUCAGUGUCCCCCUAAAACCAUCUCCAGUGAUUCUGCUUGGUCAUGAAAGUUUUUAAAGGGAAAAAAAGGAAACAAUCUCAGUUAAUCAUUGAGUUGGAGCUCACAUCCAACUACUGUGUGCAGACUUGUUGAUGUCUUGUGAUUUUUUUCUUUAAAAGGUUUCUUGUUCACAGAAUUUAUUCACAAGAUUACUGAAGGGGGAGCAGGGGAAGAUAUCUGGUCACCUAUUAAUUACCUAUUGUGUGAUGAAAAGGUCUGAAACGGGUGCUAGGACUGGAGAAUGGAGACACUAACAAUAUUCAGCUCAUGACUGUUUUGAAGAUUCAAGAAGAUAAUACUUCUAAAGCUCUGAGUAUAGAGCCUGGGACCUGGUAAACACUCAACAGUCCUGUUGAAGCUUCUCUAAUCAUCUUUCAGCUUAUUUUAUACUUAGGAACAAAGCUUCAGAGUGGCAGAUCUGGUUUCAUCUAGCCAUGGGAGCUUCCCAGAAUGGAACGGCUACCCUGAGAGGCAGUGAGCAUCUCGUCCCUGAAAGGGUUCAAGCAGAAGCCACUUCUGGAGUGGGUGCUGGAAAGGAUUCGGGCAUGAGGCAGAGUUGGUAAUACAGCAAUCAUGAGAAAUGCUGGACUGGAAGAAGCGCAAGCUGGAAUCAAGAUU